GACAGAGGGUGCAAACGUUGUUCGGAAUUACUGGGCGUAAAGCGAGUGUAGGCGGUGUGGUAAGUCGGAUGUGAAAGCCCCGGGCUCAACCCGGGAAGUGCACUCGAUACUGCCACGCUAGAGUAUCGGAGAGGUUGGUGGGAAUUCUCGGUGUAGAGGUGAAAUUCGUAGAUAUCGAGAGGAACACCGGUGGCGAAGCGGCUCACUGGACCAUAACUGAGCUGAUGCACGAAAAGCUGGGGGGAGCAAAACAGG
rnacentral:rRNA from 1 species